AGCACUUCUCGGCCUUUUGGCUAAGAUCAAGUGUAGUAUUUGUUCUUAUCAGUUUAAUAUCUGAUACGUCCUCUAUCCCAUCUCUUUUUUAUAAUAAAAAGGCGGGAGGUUGGCACAAC
rnacentral:snRNA from 1 species